UACGGAGGGCGCAAGCGUUAAUCGAAAUCACUGGGCGUAAAGCGUGCGUAGGCUGUUUGAUAAGUUGGAUGUGAAAUCCCCGGGCUCAACCUGGGAACUGCAUUCAAAACUGACAAGCUAGAGUAUGGUAGAGGGUGGUGGAAUUUCCUGUGUAGCGGUGAAAUGCGUAGAUAUAGGAAGGAACACCAGUGGCGAAGGCGACCACCUGGACUGAUACUGACACUGAGGUGCGAAAGCGUGGGGAGCAAACAGGAUUAGAUACCCGUGUAGU
rnacentral:rRNA from 1 species